rnacentral:rRNA from 1 species
CCUACGGGUGGCAGCAGUGGGGGAUAUUGCACAAUGGGGGGAACCCUGAUGCAGCGACGCCGCGUGGGUGAAGAAGCGCCUCGGCGCGUAAAGCCCUGUCAGCAGGGAAGAAAAUGACGGUACCUGAAGAAGAAGCCCCGGCUAACUACGUGCCAGCAGCCGCGGUAAUACGUAGGGGGCGAGCGUUGUCCGGAAUCACUGGGCGUAAAGGGCGCGUAGGCGGUAAUAUAAGUCAGAUGUGAAAGGUGGGGGCUCAACCCCUAGAGUGCAACUGAUACUGUAUAACUUGAGUAUGAGAGAGGGAAGCGGAAUUCCUAGUGUAGCGGUGAAAUGCGUAGAUAUUAGGAGGAACACCAGUGGCGAAGGCGGCUUUCUGGCUCAUAACUGACGCUGAGGCGCGAAAGCGUGGGGAGCAAACAGGAUUAGAUACCCCUGUAGUC